UGACCGUUCUGUUAGUUUUGUCAUCAAAAUGAAGGAUGCCAACAGAUUGCUGCGUCUCUCUUACUGUAAAGCAACUGGUUGUUGAAGGGGGGAAGGAGUUGAUCCAACAACUCGAUGAGCUGAAAAAGAUGACCAUACAGAAAAAAGAAAUAGAGAACGACACCAAAAGCAGUUAUUUCACGCCAAUGGAAUGUGGGAGAAGAAAUUUGAGAUUCUGAAGGCGAGCCCAAUAGGUUGUUGUUUUCAGAAGAUGGACAGGAUAAGACUAUGGACAUCAGUGUGUUGAGUGGCAGAGAAACAAAUUGUUCCGGUAAACAAUUUAUCCGACCAUUAGGACCAAAUUCUAACCAGAGACACACAUGCAUAUCUCAAAGCUUAUCCUCCAUUGUCAUUGAUGCAGGAUUUACAUGAAAGUUGAAGUACGUGCUUUUAAUCUUUGGAUUCUGCCCCAACAUGUCGAAUAAGAAAUUACCUAUAUAUCUUUAGAAAUAAAUCCAGGAGUUGAUUAUUUCAAUAUCCCUGAAGGUGUCUUUUUUUUUGUUGAGACACGGUUACUACCUAUAUGAAAAGACCUGUAUCUACCGUCCUAACACAUACAGUGUAACUUUCCUGAUUACAUAUUUUUUCUCCCAUAUAGUUCAUAUACUGUACAUGCAUG
rnacentral:lncRNA from 1 species